GACGAACGCUGGCGGCGUGCCUAAUACAUGCAAGUCGAGCGAAGUUUUUCUGGUGCUUGCACCGGAAAAACUUAGCGGCGAACGGGUGAGUAACACGUAAAGAACCUACCUCAUAGACUGGGACAACUAUUGGAAACGAUAGCUAAUACCGGAUAACAGCAUUAACUGCAUGGUUGAUGUUUAAAAGUUGGUUUUGCUAACACUAUGAGAUGGCUUUGCGGUGCAUUAGCUAGUUGGUGGGGUAAAGGCCUACCAAGGCGACGAUGCAUAGCCGACCUGAGAGGGUGAUCGGCCACACUGGGACUGAGACACGGCCCAGACUCCUACGGGAGGCAGCAGUAGGGAAUCUUCCGCAAUGGGCGAAAGCCUGACGGAGCAACGCCGCGUGAGUGAAGAAGGAUUUCGGUUCGUAAAGCUCUGUUGUUAGGGAAGAAUGAUUGUGUAGUAACUAUACACAGUAGAGACGGUACCUAACCAGAAAGCCACGGCUAACUACGUG
rnacentral:rRNA from 1 species